rnacentral:rRNA from 1 species
UACAGGGGGUGCAAGCGUUGCUCGGAAUCACUGGGCGUAAAGCGUACGCAGGCGGACCGUUAAGUCGGGUGUGAAAGCCCGGGGCUCAACCCCGGAACUGCAUUCGAUACUGGCCGUCUUGAAUACGGGAGAGGUGAGUGGAAUUCCUGGUGUAGAGGUGAAAUUCGUAGAUAUCAGGAGGAACACCGGUGGCGAAAGCGGCUCACUGGCCCGAUAUUGACGCUCAUGUACGAAAGCGUGGGGAGCAAACAGG